rnacentral:lncRNA from 1 species
AUUACAGGCUGAUGGUUCAUCGGCCCAUUCUUCAUUUGCAAGUUCUUCUAGGCCGGCCUAGUUAUGACUAAAUUUUAUGGGAAACCAACGUAGUCAUUUUUUCAUUUGUGAAGGGCUCUUCGGUCGGCGCAGCUCAUUUAAUGCACUUGCUGAAGUAUUUCAGCUGUUGUUGCAGCAUUAAAUUUUCUUCUCUCAGACUAUUGACAUCCGCCUGCAUUGAUUCCAUACUCAGUUGAAGAUUAGAGUUGACAUCAUCUAAUACAAUUUCUAAGGAAUCCAUUUUUGAAUCAGCAGUCUUGGGCGGCGUGGCUCUGAUACCUGUGGUCGAGUUCCGAAGAUAAAAAAUCUUGAAGAAUUGAAACGAUAACAACACCGGAGAGAACAGAGAUAGAGACACUCGAAAUAAGGCCCACGGCAUCCUCAUUACUUGUUCCUAAAUACCGAUGUCUUCCGGCGGCUCUUCUUUUUUAUUUACGAUCCACCGCCAUGUCAUAUUUCUUCAAAUGGGUAUACGCCGGUGAUAAUCGGUCCCUCCUGUAUCUCCUGCCAUCUCGAGUUUCUAUGCAUGACGCUUGUCAGGUCCUACAGCGGGAGGGAGGUCCCGAGUCUGUCAAGGCCCUAUCAGUUGGACAGUGUAGAUCGGGGAGCCGAGCAUCAUGAAACCCUCCGAUUCCUUGAAAUUCCCCAACACGAACUCUCCAGUGAUCAAUGGAUAGGGAACCAUCUCGCACAAUGAUGCCAUUUGCCCAGCACUAGCCAGGGCAUUGUUAGAUGAAAGAACCAGGGGUCAUGGCCAUCGUUCCUACGGAAGCUUCGCUCCCGAAUGUAGUCCUAGCCCUAAAGAACACUUUGAGGGAAAUCAGAUGGAUAGCUCCGCUUACUCUCCGUGGGACUGAGUAUGGCCAGUGAUGGGGGAAGUCACUGGAGUCGUCUCCUCGCCGCCGGACAUUCAUCCGGCAGAUCGGCGAAGCGGCAGGACGUCGAUGAUGCACCGGAGAUCCCGCUCCUCGUGGCGUGGAAUUCGGGAAAAGGUACAUCGAGCAGCGGCGGGCACUCGGCCUCGGGCGGGAAGGGCGUGAGCCCCGAGGUCAUCAAUUUGAAAAAUCUCACGGCGCACCUCCCCGUACCGCUCUCCCCUUUGAGGUCGAUGCAGGCCUGGCAGGCGCAAUGCGCCUCGGAUGGGUCGGCCGAGAUGUCCACAACCUUCUAGAAGGAGAGGAGCGGCAGGCACAGUGAAUCGGGAAGGCAACCAGUCCCACAUUGCCUUGCGGAUGUCGUCUCCGAAGACCGAGGGAGGCCACUCCGCCGAUCGUCAGACGUCCGGUCGACCUACCGACGGAUCUCGCCGGUGAAGAACCACGACGUAGAGGGGGGGAUCUCUAGAGAUCCUUGAAGAAAUACCAGCAACAGAAGGAGGAGGCGGAGGAGGAAGAAUACCUGGAAUCUGAGGUUCUUCUUCAGAAGGGCGUCCGCCUGCGUGAAGAAGGUCGCCGCUCCUGUGGGAGGGCGGGGCAGCGGCUUCCACCGCGAGUGAAGGCGGCGGAAAAGAGCAGCCGAUCGAG